rnacentral:lncRNA from 1 species
UGCAGUCUUGAUAUACGUAGGGCAGCCUUCUGCAUUCUAGUAAUACCCAGGUAGAUCCACAAGCUUCCAUCUUGAGGAUGACCAAAGGAAAUAACUUUUUCAAGUAUCUUGUACUCAUGUGGGAAGUAUUUAUUUAUUUACAUCCAUCAAACAAAAAUUACAAAUUCAAACAAAGUUAAGAAAACCAAAAUGUAACAAGGACAAUAGGCACACCAAUCCACUUAUGCACACCCCACAGAAGUUAAGUUAGAAUUAAAUUACAUUACAUUUAUUUUUCAAGCACCAAUCAAAUUCUAGAGAUCUAGAAAUUCUUUGUAUCAUUAUGCAUGGUCACUGGAUGUUGUGGUCUCUCAGAAUUGGCAUGAUGGUCUACUGACACUGAUGUUCUGUUUUCCCUUUUUACUAAGCCUACUAAAUGUAAAUAUGUAAAUGUAAAUGUUUUUCAAUUGUUUUUUACAUCCUUCCAGAAUACAGCCAUCCUUGCAUUUCUCAUCAAGCAUCCUUAGAGCCAAGAACGGAUCCCUGUCUUUUCAGUCCUAACUUGAAAUCACCAACAUCUAUUGAUAAUUCACAAAUAAAAAGAAGAUGAAGACAGAGAAUCUUAAAACAACAGCAGAGGGCAGCAGACUACAAAAGAUGAACCAUGAUCAAGUUGAUAGUUCAGGUCAAGAUUUUAUUCCCAGAUCCACCCUUUCCACCUCUAACCUGUCAUCUCAAGUGGUUGCUGAAAGAUCUGCCAACCAUCUUGAUAUAAGAUACUUUCCAAGUACAGAAGAAAAUGAUUUGGACAAAGCCUGCCACGUACAAUGAAUCAGGACUGGGUUAGUUUUAGACUUGAAAUCCCAGCACCAAAGAAUAAUUCAGAAUGAAAUGCUAAGAAUUGUCUUCAUACGCUUCUUUAAGUCCAUAUCCGAUGCAACGGGAGAAUCCUAUUUAUGAUUGCAUGUGAAAGAAAAGGAAGCCAUGUUUGAUCUUAGGAGCUGGGAUGGCACAGUGAUUAGGAGGAUGCGGUAUCACAGGCUAACUGCCACUGCCUGGAGUUCGAUCCUGAUCGGCUAAAGGUUGACUCAGCCUUCCAUCCUUCUGAGGCUGGUGAAAUGAGGACCCAGACUGUUGGGGGCAAUAUGCUGGCUCUGUAAACCACCCAGACAAUGCUGGAAAGCACUGUGAGCAGUAUAUAAGGCUACAUGCUUUUACUAUCCCAACAUUCUGAGAUAUGCAUCUAAGGACAUAUUUCUAGCCACAAAAAGUUUCAUUUUUACAAGCUGGGACGUUUUGCAUAUAACAGUAAAUUAUGUUUGCUAUGUGUGCCUGAACAAAGGAGCUUGAAGAAAAUGAAUGGUUAAGUUGCUCCAUUUUACCAAAACAUUCGAUUUCAUUUUACUAAAUUCAUAGAUUAUAUUUAGUUGUGUGCA